UACAGAAGGAGCGAGUGUUAUUCGGAAUAAUUGGGCGUAAAGGGCGUGUAGGCGGUUUUUUGUAGUUGUUUGUGAAAUCCCAAAGCUUGCCUUUGGUUGUGCAUGCAAAACAGAGAAACUUGAGGAAAAGAGAGGAAAAAAGAAUUUCUAGUGGAGAGGUUAAAUUCUUAGAUAUUAGAAGGAAUACCAAAAGCGAAGGCAUUUUUCUGGCUUUUUACUGACGCUGAGGCGCGAAAGCGCGGGGAGCAAACAGG
rnacentral:rRNA from 1 species